rnacentral:rRNA from 1 species
GAGUUUGAUCGUGGCUCAGAUUGAACGCUGGCGGCAUGCCUUACACAUGCAAGUCGAACGGCAGCACGGGAGCUUGCUCCUGGUGGCGAGUGGCGAACGGGUGAGUAAUGCAUCGGAACGUAUCCUGGAGUGGGGGAUAACGUAGCGAAAGUUACGCUAAUACCGCAUAUUCUGUGAGCAGGAAAGCGGGGGACCUUCGGGCCUCGCGCUCUUGGAGCGGCCGAUGUCGGAUUAGCUAGUUGGUGAGGUAAAGGCUAACCAAGGCGACGAUCCGUAGCAGGUCUGAGAGGAUGAUCUGCCACACUGGAACUGAGACACGGUCCAGACUCCUACGGGAGGCAGCAGUGGGGAAUUUUGGACAAUGGGGGCAACCCUGAUCCAGCCAUGCCGCGUGAGUGAAGAAGGCC